GUUUGUCAUGCCAAGAUGGUUUGAAUGAUAUACAGGGUUAGUACCCAGGGGUCAUCCCAACCCCCUGCCAUUUGAGAAAGUUCUAAUAUCUUGUAAGUGGUCAAGAUCCCCACCCCUAAACCAUAUAUUCUGGUUUGUCAUGCUAAGAUGGUUUGAAUGAUAUACAGGGUUAGUCCCCAGGGGUCAUCCCGACCCCCUGCCAUUUGAGAAAGUUCUUAUAUCUUGUAAAUGGUCGAGAUCCCCACCCUAAACCAUAUAUAUUCUGGUUUGUCAUGAUAAAGCACAUCAAAUGAAAUACAGGGUAAGUCCCCAGGGGUCACCCCCACCCCCUGCCAUUUAAGAAAGUUCUAAUAUCUUUUAAGUGGUCAAGAUCCCCACCCCUUAACCAUAUAUAUUCUGGUUUGUCAUGCUAAGAUGGUUUGAAUGAUAUACAGGGUUAGUCCCCAGGGGUCAUCCCGACCCCCUGCCAUUUGAGAAAGUUCUAAUAUCUUGUAAAUGGUCGAGAUCCCCACCCCUAAACCAUAUAUAUUCUGGUUUGUCAUGCCAAGAUGAUUUGAAUGAUAUACAAGGUUAGUCCCCAGGCAUCACUAAUGCAUAUAACUUUACUGGACCAAACCAAUUUUCACUGGACGUUGCCAAAUGUCAGGCGACCCUGGGAAUUAAGAAUAAUGGGAGCUUCGUUUGGGAGACUUCGUAACAGCAUCCUGUUACAAUCAUUUCUUGUUUAAUUACUGUUUUACUUUUAUUUCUAUUCAUUUAUUUUUUUUUUAAUUUAUUACAGUUUUAAUUUUUAAUUUUUUAAAUAGUUUUUGAAUUGUUUUUUUUUAAUUUGUUAAUUAGAAUUUGCAUUUUAUUUUUUUGUUUUUCAAACAAUUUUAACCAAUGUUGAAUUAAGUGUUUCAUAGUAAGGAAGUGUGGUCUUAAGAAUAUCAGUUUACAUGUGUUGUUUACAUGAUGGUCAUUAAUUAGUUCUGCACAGUUAAAUGUUAGUAGGAACUGUGAGGUUUAUAUAAAUUAUUUAAUAGCUUUGUUUCACUAAUAUUCACCAAUGUUUCUAUUUCUUUUGAAUCCUAUUGAUAGGUUUUAUGGAAUUUGGCACCUAUUGUAGAAUUUGUUUUAAUAAGAUGCAAGUAUUUCCUGAAUACUUUUUGAAGUUUUCUGCUUGAGAAUGAUAAUUUGUAAUGAAUGAUAUAUUAUAUCUAUUUUCAACUUCGUUCCUUUUCUGGACAUAAUUUCAUAGAAAUUGAUCCAAUAUCCACCUAUUUAGGUGAGAAUCAUACCUCUGGCCUAAUUUCAUAGACAAAAUUUCAUAGAAGUUGAUUCUAUGUCACCCCAUUUAGGUGCAAAUCACCAUUUUAAAUUGUGCUUUCAAGCAGUUCAUAUGUAAAAAAAAGCUAUGGAUGAUAAUCAUUUUCAGCAUGAGGUUUAGGCCAUUCUUUUCUUAUUUCAGAUUGACAUAUAUCCAUAGGACAUGCAGUUAACUUAGACAAAUAUGAAGAAAAAGGUCUCUGAUUCAAUUCUCUGUGAAGUUCAAGGACUUUCUUAGUCAAAUAUGGGAAGAUGUGAAAGGAUACAUAGAAAUCUUGAAGGACAAAUUGACGAGAGUCUUAAAAGACACAGAUAUGAAGAUAAACAAGAGGAAAAGAAUGCCAAACAAAGUUCAUUUUGUAGUUUAAAGGACUGCAGACUUCCUGAUAUCUUUCAAACUGUUGUGUUUUUUGGUAUAAAUGUGAUAAUGCAUUAUCAUCUUAUUUGUAUAGGCAUACAUCCUGCAAAUCUUGUUGGUACCUUUUAUCUCCAUUAAUGCAACCGCUAUUUAUAAAACAUUGUUGUGAUUGUAGUUCUAUAUGUGAGUUUAUUAGUUAACUAGUGCGUAGUAAUUGCAUAUAUGAAUUAUUUUAUACCAUAUCUAUCAAUCUUUGUCUUUUUAAUUAAGAAAUAAUUUUUAAAACCUUGCUCUUUCAAUCCUAGUACAUUUAUUUUAAUUAUUUUGCAUAGUUUAUAAGUUUAAGUAAUGCCAUUUUAUUUCCACAUUUGAAUUUUACAACAUAAAAUACAUAAAGAUCAGAUUUAUAUCUGUGUUAACAGUUUAUUUAAUGGAAUAUUAUAUUUAUGUUUAAUUUGUAAUAUGCACUUUGUCUCAUAUUUUUUUCAAUUUGACACAUUUUCUUUUAUUAAUCAUCAAAUUUCAACAAAUGUUGGAAACAAACUUACAUAAAAACUUUUCGAAUGUAUCAAAAUUCUGUGUUGUAAAAUCUUAAAGAUUUUCUUUUUCUGGAUUUUUCCCAAUAUGUUUAAGAAAUCUGUAGCAUAAUUUUUGCUUGUAGAUUUUAUUUCGGGAUUUUUCCCGUAAUGGGUAAAAAAAUCUAUGCAACAAGUGUGUGCCUGAUAAUAGAUUUAUAUUUUCGGGAUUUUUCCGGAAAUGUGAAAAUAAAUUAUAAGUCAUGAGUUUCAGCAUAUACAUAUGUUGGGUAUUCGGGAUAAUUCCCGAAAUGUUUGAAGACAUAUAUGCUUUAUACAUUUUACAUUUACAUUAUUUUUUCGGGAUUUUUCCCGAAAUGUGUUUAAGAUCUGUUUGUCACAUAGCUAUGCUACCAAAAGUUUUAAUUAAUGUUGAAAGUGAUUUCGGGGAAAUUCCCGAAUAAAAUGUUGUCACAUACAUUUUUACCACAAAUAUUUGCAACUUUCAUAUAUUUUGGGAAAUUCCCCAAACACUAAAUGUAAGUUUUAUCAAUUAUAAGAAUAAAAGCAUGGAAGAUUGUAAAAAUUGUGUGUUUCUUUAUGAAAUCUGCAUUCAUUUAUGGUAAACAUUGAAAAAGCUUAUAAAUAGGAAUAAAAUGGAUUUUACUCUUUUAAAA